UCCUCAACGCCCUUUGGCCAGCGCCAAAAAAGUCCCGCUCGCUUCUGGGAGCCCUUCGCCGCAGGGUCGGUCCGCGCAGGAUAGAGCUCCUUGAUUGGCUAAUGCAGCAGCGAUUCACGCCUCGCCGAGGCGUUCCUAGCAGCCGCCGUGCGGAAGCGUCUGGCCGGUAACCGCGGUGGACCCGUUGCUUAAGAGCGGUGGUGGGGCCUUUGAUGUUGCCAUAGCAACGCGGUUGCCUUGGAGAUGAAUGUCUAAGUGCCUGAAGCCUAAAUUUGGCUCUCCAACCUUCCUCUUCCCACUUGUUUCCUCCAGAUGUCCGAAACUAGCCCUUUUUACUUUUCGCAAGGUUAAUCUGUUUCAUCUGCUACUGACCCAAAUGCCUUCCACGUCCUUUGGAACCUACUGACUUCCCUAUUCCCACCCAGGACUGCUUCUUCCUCCGGGGAAGGUGACUGAUACGUCAAUGACUACAACUGGUGAUGCAGAUGAAGAAAUGAGGAACUGAAGGGCGGCGCCUGUGGCUCAGUCGAGUCUCAAGCUGUUGCCCUGGGUAGAGUGCUAUGGCAUCACAGCUCACAGCGACCUCCAACUCUGGGGUUCAAGCGAUUCUCCUGCCUCUGCCUCCCAAGUAGCUGGGCCUACAGGCACCUGCCACAAUGCCUGGCUAUUUUUUUUUUGCCGUUGCAGUUGUCACUGGUGUUUUAACUGGCCUGGACUUAGGGCAGAGUUGCAAAAGCAGUAGGGUUUUCAUGUACCCUUCACCCAGCCUUGUAUAUCAGCAUCUUGCAUAAUAAUAGAAGAGGCCAGGCAAGCCAUGGUGGCUCACACCUGUAAUCAAAGCACUCUGGGAGGCUGAGGCAGGUGGAUUGCCUAAAUUCAGGAUUUUCAGACCAGCCUAAGCAAGAGCCAGACCCGGUCUCUAGUAAAAACUGAAAAACUAGUAUGGUGUCGUAGUGGGCGCCUGUAGUCCCAGUUACUUGGGAGGCUGAGGCAAGAGAAUUGUUGAAGCCCAAGAGUUUGAGGUUGCUGUGAGCUGUGACAGCAUGGCACUCUACUGAGGGUGUAGUGAGACUCAGUCUCAAAAAAAAAAAAAAAAAAAGUCGGGGAAGGAGAGUGAGUGGGGGCAGGAAAUGCUUCUGCUACUGGCAUUUUCUAUUAGAAGCCAAGGAUGCUGCUAAACAUGUUGCAGUGUACGGCCCCACAAAAAGAACUAUCCAACCCAAUUGUCAGAAACUCUGUCAUAGAAUAAUUACCAAAGCUAACAGGUCAAUAUUGGCAUAAUAAUAUUAACUAAACUACAGACUUCUCCUGCCCCAAUUUUUCCAUUAGUGGUCUUUUUAUGUUCCAGGAUGGGUUUGCCUGGUGUUUCCCCAUGAUUAGAUUGAGGUUAUGUGGUACUGGGAAGAAUAUGACAGAGACCACAUGACCUUCAAGAUCUGGGUAACAAGUAUGCUUAUUAAUACUAGAGUGUUACUGUUUCUGGCCCCACUAAGUGAAUAAAGCAAGGAAAUAUAUACACACAUUUCUGUAUGUAUUUGUAUACAUAUUAAAAAGCCAUGAAUUCACACUGAUGCUUCUAACUUUAAUCCAGCCUCACAGGAUUCAUGCUGACCUCUCCCAUCUCCUGUUUUAUCUGUAACUUCUUUCUCCAGCAGUGAGCAACCUGGCUCACAUUAUCUACAUACAGGACAUUAACUUAUCUGUUUAACCCACCCCCUUUUUUUUCUUCUUUUUUUUUGUUGAGACGGAGUUCUACCCUGUGCCAUGAGCAGAGUGCAAUGGCAUCAUAGCUCACUGCAACCUCAGACUUGGGCUGUGGGCAUCCUGCUGCCUCAGCCUCUGAAGCUGCUGGGAUUACAGGUGCUCGCUGUGGCGCCUGGCUGGGUUUUUCCAUUUUUUCAUGAGUCAGGAUCUCACUCUCGCUCAGACAAGCCUCAAACUCCUGAGCUCAAGCAAUCCUCCUGCCUCAGCCUCCCACAGUGCUGGGAUUAAAAGUGUGAGCCACCGCGCCCAGCCUUUUUUUUUUUUCCAAACUCCUGGGCUCAAGCGAUCCUCCUGCCUCAGCCUCCUCAGUAGCUUGGACUACAGGCUCCCUCCCCAACCCCCAGCUUUUUUUUUCUAUUUUUAGUAGAGAUGGAGUCUUGCUCAGGCUGGUCUUGAACUCCUAAGCUCAAAUAAUCCACCUGUCUUGGCCUCCCAAUGUGCUAGGACUACAGGCAUUAGUCACUGUGCCUGGCCAAGAAACUUUUUUUAUAGCUGGGUACAAAGGUUUACAUCCAUAAUCCCAGAGCUUUGGAAGGUCAAGGCAGUUGGAUUACUUGAGACCAGAAGCUGGAGACCCGUCUGGGUGACAUAGUGAGAUUCUGUCUCUAUUAAAAAAAAAGAAACUAAAUAAUAAAAUAGAUUUCUUUGCAUUGACAUCGUGGCUCAAAUAAAAAUAAAAUAAUGUUUAUGUAAGUGCAUUGAAAAAGGCCUAACUGGGCAGUGCCUGUGGCUCAGUCGGUAAGGCGCCGACCCCAUAUGCUGAGGGUGGCGGGUUCAAACCCAGCCCCAGCCGAACUGCAACAAAAAAGUAGCCGGGCAUUGUGGUGGGCACUUGCAGUCCCAGCUAUUUGGGAGGCUGAGGCAAGAGAAUUGCCUAAGCCCAGGAGUUAAAGGUUGCUGUGAGGUGUGUGAUGCCACAGCACUCUACCAAGGGCCAUAAAGUGAGACUCUUGUCUCUACAAAAAGAAAAA